UCGGUUGGAUUGCUCAAUGCCAAGACAAAGAGCUCUUUGAUCAUGGGCUAGAAAAAAGGGUUAAAGGAUGGUUGAGAAAGAAUUCAGGAAAGAAUGAUCCUGUUCCCGCUUAGAGGAGGACAGAGGAGCUGAAACCAAUGGGGCUGUGGAGCCUGGGGAGGAAAUUGAUGAAGAGCCGGUGUAGAAGGCAUGGCCCUCAUCAAUAUAGUCUCCUCAGUCUUUACCAGCCCCCGUCCCUGUGCUGCUACCAGAGCGCUCUCCCCCGCCCAGCUGUGCAGAUGUCACUUCCUCCAAGACAACUUGACCCUUUUCAUCACAACUAGUUUCCUCGUGUUUGUUGGGACACGUAUGGAGAAGAAUUCCUUAAGCUGACUGAUCGCCAAGAAAGAACCUGCAAAUCCUCCUGUGUUGUCGUGAAAGCCAUCACUAGGCAGCUUUCUUGGGCCUUGACUCACAUCAGCAGCAUAGGGCACUCCACACGGAUGAGGAACUGGGUUGCUUUGGACAAGUCAGUCUCUUAUGACUUCUGUUUCUUUCGAGAACCCUGCCUAAUACAGGGGUGGAGGCUCCUAAACAUCAUCUCUAGGUUAUUGUUGAAGGUGACCUGGAUCCAGCCUACUGAACUACUUGAGUGAAAGAAGGAAAAAAACAAAAAACGGAAUGUUUGGGGUGGAAACAACAUAGAGAAAGAAGGCUUUUCUAUUUUCCUUAACAUCCCUUGUCCAUUCCAGGCAUUCUGCUUGUGUAAAGGUGAUUUAUCAGGAAUAUAUUGUUCUCAAUAUGAUCCCUGUAGAUUGUUUUUUCAUGUUCUGAAAAGGAUCUAUUCUCUCUCUCUCUCUAAAAAAGAUUUUAUUUAUUUGAGAGAGAGUAUGUGUGAGAGUGAGCUGGGGGUAGGAGCAGUGGGCGAGGGACAAGCAAGCUCCUUGCUGAGUGUGGAGCCUGACACGGGGUUUGAUCCCACGAGCCUGACCGGGAUCAUGACCUGAGCUGAAGUCAAGGUCAAAUGCCCAACCAACUGAGCCACCCAGGCACCCCUGGAAAAGAUAGGUUCCCGUAACAGCCACCAAUGAAAACGACAACUCAGAAAACCUAGUGCAAACUUGUGGCCACAAUUUAAGGACAGCAUUAAUAAAUGGCAGUGAAUUACUCAUCAUCUUCCAUGUGAUAAAUACAAUUUGUGCAUUACCUCGCUUGGUCCCCAUCCCAACAAUGUAGAGUAGCCAUGAUGUCUCCCAUGGCAAAGCUGAGGAAGCUGAAGUUCAGAAGGCUUUAGAAAGGGGGGGGGGCAUGUAGAUAGAUCGAAUGAACAGAAGUAGGAUCAACAGCCCUGCUAUUAGAUUCUGAAGCCCAUGCUAAUGUCCACAAUAGCCAAACUGGAAGGAACCAAGAUGCCCUUCAACAGAUGAAUGGAUAAAAAGUUAUGGUUCAUACAUACAAUGGAAUAUUACU